CCUACGGGGGGCAGCAGUGGGGAAUAUUGCACAAUGGGGGAAACCCUGAUGCAGCGACGCCGCGUGAGCGAUGAAGUAUUUCGGUAUGUAAAGCUCUAUCAGCAGGGAAGAAAAUGACGGUACCUGACUAAGAAGCCCCGGCUAACUACGUGCCAGCAGCCGCGGUAAUACGUAGGGGGCAAGCGUUAUCCGGAUUUACUGGGUGUAAAGGGAGCGUAGACGGUCGUGCAAGCCAGAUGUGAAAGCCCGGGGCGCAACCCCGGGACUGCAGUUGAAACUGUAAGGCUGGAGUGUCGGAGAGGCAGGUGGAAUUCCUAGUGUAGCGGUGAAAUGCGUAGAUAUUAGGAGGAACACCGGUGGCGAAGGCGGCCUGCUGGACGAUGACUGACGUUGAGGCUCGAAAGCGUGGGGAGCAAACAGGAUUAGAUACCCUGGUAGUC
rnacentral:rRNA from 1 species